rnacentral:misc_RNA from 1 species
AGAGAGAGAGAGAGAGAGAUUGAAAAUGGUGGAUAAUUUGUCAAAGUUCAGUGUCCUUAGGUGAAUAUGUGCAGUCAGUCAAUUGGUUUUCUUUAGAAGCAUUCUAGCAUGGUUAGAUGUGAAAUUGAUGGUUUAUCAGUAGGGAGGAGACAAAUCCAAGGGUGUGGGGAAAUGUUACGAGAUUAAAUUGCUUGUAUGUCUGACAUUUAUAUAUUAACGUGUUAACACAUUUUCAUUUAUUUUUCCAUGUUUAUUAUCAUCUUUGAGUCUGCCUUUGAUGAUCUUAGGUAGAAGACUGUAUAAUAAUAUCUAGUUGUCAGUGUAUACCUUGUACAUUGUGUGUAUAAUAAAAAUGUGAGCAUUCUGUGUCAUGAAUUGUUAUUGAGUUUGCAGAUCGGUAUAACACCGCCCUCGUAUGCCACAGAUGGCAUUUCUUGGCAUGUCACCCUCGCUUGUGGCUGCGAGUAGACCGAUCUGUCAAAGAUUUAUCGGAACCUGGUGUUUUCCCCACCAUCGAGAUGGCUGUCUCUGCUGCUAGGUAUGUACAUUGACAUCUUGCUGCAUGUGAUUUUUGAGUCUGAAUUAUUGGAAGGAAAACUGAUCAUGCAUGUGAUCUUUUAGACCUGGUGACACCAUUCUUAUCUCUGCGGGAGGGAGUCAUCAUGUCUCUAAUAUUCAAAUAAAUAAACCACUUUGCCUGGUAUGUGCCAAUUAUCUAUGCUUGGAGAUGGUGUUUUAGCUUUAACUAGUAACUAGAGCAUAUAGAUAUAUGAAUACCGUAAAUCUAGAAUAUGCAUUAGUGGAUACAUAUUCUAGAUAAGUUCAUCAAUUGAUUGAUUCCCCAAAAAGAAGUGUGCAAGUGAUGUAGGGAGAUAAUUUAAGUCAACCUAAUUCAGUCAACUCCAUCUGUAGUCUGAGCCUGAAAGAACUAAUUGGGUAACGGCAUGUGAAGCAAAGCUGUGAAGGCCUUUGGACAAAAUUCUUUGAUGUAGCUGUAUUGAAUUCCUACCUGCCUGAUUUACAAUACUAGUUUUGGAGUUUAAUAUCCCUAAUAAGUUAUCCUCUCUCACUGUCUGUAGUUGACCCCACUAAUCAUAAUUAUUUUUAUGUAGGUAUUUUUUAACAUUAUUGGCUCUUUGCUUGGUGCACAAGUACAGAAUGCAAGUUAAUUCGAUUUUAAAAUUUGCUUGGCAUCCCUUGGCAAACCCUAUAAUCUUCUAUCUUUUGUUUUUCACAAACUUCACGCCCUUCCCUUUAUUUUUAAGUGGGUUGUAGUUUAACUGUAGGAAUUCAGUUCAUGAAUGCCAUACUUCUGUAGUUCUUAAUUCUUCUACCUGUGCCCUUUGUAUCUCAAUUCUCAACUUGGUUCAGAUUGGUGGAGGCGAGCUUCCCGAUGAAACAACACUCCUAUGUUCUCGAGGUUCAGACAGGUAUGCAAGAUGUCAAUUGCAUUGCUUUGUUAUUGUCUGGUGAUCUUAUUGGAGUUCCCUGUCAAGGAAGUUACUAGGACUCUCCUUACCAUUGGAUUUCAAUGGCCAAAAACUCUAAUUAAAGGAUGAUGUUUAUUCCAAUGUACCAAUAAGGAUAUUUUCUGCUUUCUGACCUUAUUCUACAAGCAAUGCGUUGCAUGCUUGUUGUGCUUGUCAUACCAUCAUAAAACUUGUUGAACUCAGUUAUUAAUUAUCAUUUUAGUAGUUAUCACAAAAAUUUCCCUUCAAAAUCAUCGCAUUACCUUAAAUGCCUAGAUUAAGGCUCUGACAUGCAUGCAACUCUUGAUUAAUUGGGAUGCCUGGUUGUCUGUUGCUUGGUUUAUCAGACUCUGAUAUAAAGAUUUACAGCUUUCCAUGCCUACCUCCAGUGUAAAAUUUUGUUAUCCUACAUCUGUCUGUUAUUUUGCAUCACAAGACAGAAUUUGGUGGUGGUGUUUUUGCAGUGCAUUAGAGUUCUUGUCCACUUGCAAAUUGACGAACCUAACAGUGAAGGCAGAGCUUGGUUGUUGCUUGCUUCAUAGAAGUGGAAGGCUAACCAUAGAUGGCUGCAUCCUUCAAUGUGAGUCAAACCCUUUGGACUAUCUCUCAUACCCAAUCGUGACUACAGCUGGGGGGAAUGAGAUUUUCUCCUCCUCUGUGAAGACAAACUGUGAUGGUGUUUCUGUUUCUCAAACUCGGAUAGAAGGGGGUGCCAAGGCUGUUGUUACAAGUGGGGAGCUGGCCUUGCAGCGAGUCCGAGUCAUCUGUUCUCGAGCUUAUGUUUAUUUCUGGUUUGAUGUAGAACAUAAAUGAUUAUUGUUCAUUCCGAGUUAGCCUGUAACAUAAUGAACCUAGCUUUUUAUUUAUUUCUCAUUGUUGUAUUGAUCAUCAAUAUAAAUGAUUUCAUUCAACAUAGUUUCAGCGUUUCUAAGAAUAAUCAGAAUUUCC